rnacentral:rRNA from 1 species
GACAGAGGGUGCAAGCGUUGUUCGGAAUUACUGGGCGUAAAGCGCACGUAGGCGGCUUUCUAAGUCGGGGGUGAAAUCCUGGAGCUCAACUCCAGAACUGCCUUCGAUACUGGAGAGCUUGAGUCCGGGAGAGGUGAGUGGAACUGCGAGUGUAGAGGUGAAAUUCGUAGAUAUUCGCAAGAACACCAGUGGCGAAGGCGGCUCACUGGCCCGGUACUGACGCUGAGGUGCGAAAGCGUGGGGAGCAAACAGG